CUUCCAUCAACUCUUCUCGGCCUUCCUUCUCCUUGUUUCCAGCAUUGCCCCAGCUCUUGGAACUGGGCAUCAGCAGUUCUAGGAAACGCUGCUCCUGAGUCAGGUUGCUCUGAGCGUCCGCUUCCUGCUAGCAAGUCACACAGAACAGAGCUCAGAGGCGAGGCUCCGGGUCAGCCUGCCUGGGCUCGGGCUCAGCUCUGCCGCUUCUAGCUGUGUCAUCUGGAACUUUCCUGAACUUUGGUUUCCUCACCUCCCAGAUGGGUGUGAUUCUCCUGCUUAUCUCUUGGGUUUGUUUGGAGGGUUUUAGCAAGAAUACCAAUGACAGCUAAUGCUUGUUGGGCAUUUGCUCUGAGCCGGGCUAUGUGCUGGGGCUGCACCCGGCCUUGGCAUCCUCCCUGAAUCCUCCCUGAAGCUCACAAGUCUAGUAAGUGGCAGAGCCAGCGCAGUUCUACCUGGCAGAAGCCACUCGGCAGUCCUGCCUCUUGGGCUUGCCUCGCACUGACAGGCUCCCGCGACUGUCGGCUAGCAUUGCUGUCCUUGUCACCAUAAUUAGGAGACUAUGCUCCGUGGCCUCUUUCUCACUGGGAGAAUUGGGCUGCUCUUUGGGUCCCAUUUUGGUGAGGCAAUGGUUAUUUGAUGGUGUGACUUUAUAUUCUUUUGGUAACACUGAAAAGCCAGCAUCCUCCCAGCUACCCCUAUCCCCACCCCAACACCAAGCGAGCCAUGGAUAUUUCCAGACCCUCCAGGCAUGUCAGAACCACGGGGCUAGUGCUGUUUUGUGGGACCUUUGUCCCUCUACUCCUAUCUGGUCUGAUUUUACCAUGAGACUCUCCUGGGUUUCUUCACUGGCACCUUAAUGGGAACCAGAUUUGCAAAGCGUUCACCAGUCAUGGCAUGUGCUGGGAGUCGCCAGGCUGGAGGCUGUCAGCUGUGGGCAGCGACACUGGAGACACUGGGCCCUGUUCCUGACCUUGAGCAAUGCCUGCGGCCACACUGGUCUGUCUUCUCCAGGUGGGAGAGGAGGCGGGCGCUGGGUGGACGCUCAGAGAGGUUCUGUGACAGGGAGCACCGGCAGAGGCGCUGUAGGCGCCAGUUUCAUGUCCCCGCGGGCCUCUUUGUGUGUUAUGUCGGACAAAUGCCUCUACUGCCCUUCAUCUGCACUCUUCUUUGCCUUUGCACACGCUGUUCUCUGCCCCGUGUGUCUUUCUCCUCCUUUACGUACUUAUUCAGCAUUUAUUGAAAAUCUCCGCUAUGUUAGAUGUGAUUCAGGAACUAGAGGCACAAAGACACCAUCCCUCAUAGCUCACAGUGGCAGAGACAUGCCCACUAUCGCAGGAUCACGGGUCUGGGACACCUGGGCCAACAGGGCAGGACAAGGCAGGCAUCAGGAAAGACCACGCUCUGUGGGACGCGACGUCUGCCUGGGUUUCUGUCUCGCCCACUCUCCUUCAACACCCAGCCAGGCAGCAGCCCUUGUUUGAAGAGCUCCCAGAUCCCCACAUACAGAGUGACUAUCUCUCCAGAACUCCCCUGGCUUUGCACGUAAAAGACAGAGCACUGACCACCACGCUGUUUCUGCCAGUUCCCCCCACCCCUCCUGGACUGCAACUCCCUGAGGACAGGAUUGGAUUCACGUUUGCCUUGCCAGGGCCCUGUAGAACUUUACUAAAUAUUUGCUGAGAGUAAGUCUGUGUAUCUACAUGUGUUGUACCCACACGUGUGUGUGACUACACGUCUGUGAGCAGGGGCGCGGUAGUCACGGUGGGUCUCGUGCUUUAAUGUCGUAGUUGCCUCGUUGAGAUCUCUCAGCUCCUCCUCAUGACUCCCUCCUCUCCAUGUGGACAAGAGUGAUCGCGGCUCCCUGGCACUUGGAAGUUGAAGGAUUGAUUCCAGGGGUUGCGGAGGGGGAGGGUGGGGAGAUAGUGGCGCGUCAGUCUCCACCAGUGCCUCCCUCACAGUCAGCUCAGCCUGGCAGCCAGGGCUUGGGGAACAGGACGAGAGACAGCCAGCCCACCUCAGCCAAAGGGACCCUCCGCUUGACUCCCUACACCUCAGCUCUCAGAAAAAUCCCUCUGCUCUUGAAAAAGCCUCCACUGCUCCAACUUACAACUGGAGCUUGGUGGAAGGGUACCAAGGGGCCCUAGUGUCCUGACCAUUGAACGUUCUGGACAGAGACCUAAGGUUACCGGGCAGCGGAUCACAAUGAUGGAUCGUGAAAGAAAUGAUACCACUCAAAGCCUUGUACAGCAGUUUCAUUAUCCUGCCGCAGGCUUCUGGCAAUUCCUCAAGUCUGCCUUGUUUCAUGUCUAAUUACAUAUUGCCGUGC
ensembl:lncRNA